UACAGAUGGUUGACCCUCGGAUUCAGGUAGGUACCCGYA
rnacentral:rRNA from 1 species